UGAUUGUAUGAAUUAGCUGUGAGUUUGUAAUUCUUUCCUGUAACAUUUUCUACAGACUGAUAGAGAUAUAAGAGCGGAACGACACACAGACAAAGGCUGAAGAGAGAAACAGGGAAAAGAUAUGUAGUGGGUGGGAUUUUGGUGAUGAAAAGAAUUAUGGGCUAGAUUUUUCUGUGUGACGUCACUUUUACACAGUUUCCUUGAAUAGCACCUGUGUGCAUGGGGGCUGUCUGUCUGUCAGUCCUGAGUAAAAACAUAACCGUGCCAGCAAAAACAUAUCUGUCAGUGUUCUCUGCUGAGCAGUGAAGGCAGACUGCUUUCCUUCUGCAGGGGCCAUCGCUGGCUCCGAGGUCUCCAGAUGUCCGACCGGCCCCCUUAACUCUGCAUUGGGCAUCAUUUCGUCCAAAAACAUCUUCUUCUUUUUUUUCCCAAUUCAGAUUUUUGUUUUCUUUUUAACUCUCUGAAAAUUGUUACUUUUUUUCUCGUCUGCAGCCGACUCUUGUGCAGGUGACACCAGGUGUUUCAUUUGAAAACGGGUCGUCAGCCACCGUUCCAAGCCUCCAACCACAGUUUGUCUCUUCAGAUAACCCAGAUGUUGACCCCUGGCUCUGUUUCAUAAACACUCCAGCAGCAUCACACCCUCCAGCAUCUCCAUAGGUUCCCUCGCAUCACUGUGUGUUUACAGUCAUAGAAGCUGCAGGAGUUUUACGAUUAUAUGAGUAAUUAAAGUAAUUUUAAAAUCUUCGCUGCAUUAGCGUCAGAAAAACAAUCCCGUGAGAUUAGUGUGCGUGUUUCCUUUGAGUAUUUUUUUCUUGAAAAACAUCCAGGUCUAAUCUCACAAGGAGAAGGCCACUCAGCACGGCCAGUUCUGCUGAGAAGCUGCAGGCUGCGGCCUUCAGGGGAACCAUGUGAGGACGCGGAAGAAGCAGCACCAAGGUUUCCCUCCGAGCUGCUGCUGCAGUUUUCACCCGUUGGCUCACAGUUCCAUCAGAUAAAGGAGAGUAACGCCUUCAUGCUGGAUCUUUAUAGGAACACAUCACCGUUCAUUCAGACUGGUUGGUUUUGUGAGUCCGGAGCAGCGUGGAAGACUAGUGAUUUUGUUGUUUGUCGGUUAAAUUGACAACAAAUCAUUGUCUUCCUCAUUGCUUUGAGACACAAACAGAAGCUCCAGCUGAGUGUUUAACAUUUCGGAGGACCCUGAGAGCGCUUAGCCCCAAUUUCCCUCUGGAGCGCAGCUUAAUAAAACGCUCCUUCAAAAUAAAAGUCAAGUCCUCCUGUUUAUUUUCAUGACAGAUGAGCGGCAGGGCCUCGACUCGAUCGCAUCUGCACACAAACGUUGCCUUAAGAUUUACAAAUGGACGCUUGAACAUGUGCAAAAUGUUAGCAUUAUAAAGUUCAAUCAGGAUUUUUUUUAGAUUUAGUCUUUAAAGAAAAUUUUAAGGAAUGUUUUUUAUGAAUUUCUGUAUUUUUUAUCAACCUUCAAACAAAAUAAUACAAUUGCAUAUAGAUUUUAACAUAGUUUGUGUUUGUCAACUUAAAAAAAAUCUAAAAUAUUCUGUUGAAGUCUUUGCUGAUGAAUUAAUGAUUUUUUUCUGUAAAAUUCUGUGAACAGAAUUGUAUUUUUUUCUCCUUUGCCUGCUGAGUCUGAGUGAGAAAAUCAAAGGUAUUGUUGUUUUUGUGUGUUUGUUUUGAUAAAACAGGAGAAAAGUGGCUUGUUUGCAGAAUUGUUUUGGUUUUGGGUUUAAUUAUUUAUCCAGUUGAUUACUGGCCUGUAAUCUGCCUCUCCUCAUUAAUCUAAUCACCUUGUCCAGACUCUGAGAUCAACUCGAACGUAUUUGAAGAAUGAGAAUAUUGAACCAUAACUGAUGGAAAACCAGAUGACCUAAAGAUUAGAGGAAAUGUGGGAAUCGACUCCUGCUGCAGGGAGCAGAACAGAUUCUUAUCCGUUCGUUUCAUUUUUACUUUAUCACUUGACCUUUGGCUUUUUCAUAAAUGAAUGGAAACAAAAAUCGAUCCACCCUAUGACUUUCAAUCCUUUUUAAUGAUGGAAUUCGACAUCUCAGACAAGUCUAUGACAUAACAGUUCAAGUCCCGGUAUGUUCUGUUCCAGACAGUUCCAGGAUCGGGGUUUUACUGGGGUGGCAGCAGGGUCUUGGACUGAUCCAUCACCUGCUGAAAGAACUUCUC